GCCUUUUUCAGCUUUUCCAGGUGGUGGGUAGAAAGAAGAAAACCACAGAGAUAAAUUGCCAUUUUCAUCAAAUCAUAUGAAGGGUAUAUUUUAUCGAUAUAACUUACCACUGUUGGUGUUAACUAUAAUCAUCUGACUGAGAUAGUGUUUAUCAGUUUUCUCUGUAGUAAAAUUACUCUUCCCUUUCCCUUUCCAAAAGUACUCUUAAGAAAAAAAUACUAUGUAUAGCUCAAAUCCUUGGGGUAGUAUCUACACAAAUUAUUCUGAAUUGUUCUGCGUGGAAGAUUUGUCUAUUGUGAUCAUCUAUUUAUCUAUUUGCUCAUUAUUUAUGUCAGUA
rnacentral:lncRNA from 10 species